AUGUCGGAUAAAAAGGAUUUUGGAUAUAGUUUUCCUUCUGACGGCCCAGGGCACGGCCGUACUUGUGAUAUUUCUGCUUGGGACACAUUUUAUUUGGCAGUUUUCUCGAUGUUAAAUACCACUAGGUGGGUUACUUUUUAUUGGCAUUGGAAACAUAUCACAUUAUGGAAGGGCACCGUUUCACAAUUUAAUGAAUCCUCCACUUAUUUGAUGGAAUGGUUAAGAGAUUACCUAUGGUUAAACUCUUCACAACUUAUCAAUGGAUAUAAUCCUUUUGGGAUGAAUAGUUUAUCGGUAUGGGUGUGGAUGUUCUUAUUUGGACAUCUUGUUUGGGCUACUGGAUUUAUGUUCUUAAUUUCCUGGCAGGGGUAUUGGCAGGAAUUAAUUGAGACUUUAGCAUGUGCUCAUGAACGCACACCUUUAGCUAAUUUAAUUCGCUGGAGAGAUAAGCCCGUGGCUCUUUCCAUUGUGCAAGCAAGAUUGGUUGGAUUAGCUCGCUUUUCCAUGGGUUAUAUAUUCACUUAUGCAACUUUCUUGAUUGCCUCAACAUCAGGCAAGUUUGGUUAA
rnacentral:rRNA from 1 species